rnacentral:rRNA from 1 species
UACGUAGGGGGCAAGCGUUGUCCGGAUUUAUUGGGCGUAAAGAGCGUGUAGGCGGUCAGAUAGGUCCGUUGUGAAAACUCGAGGCUCAACCUCGAGACGCCGAUGGAAACCAUCUGACUAGAGUCCGGAAGAGGAGAGUGGAAUUCCUGGUGUAGCGGUGAAAUGCGCAGAUAUCGUAAGGAAGACCAGUGGCGAAGGCGGGUCUCUGGACAGUUCCUGACGCUGAGGCACGAAGGCCAGGGGAGCAAACGGG